rnacentral:lncRNA from 12 species
UAAGGAGCUUACGGUGACCUCACGACCUUUGCGCCAACAACACGGAAUCCAUUAUCAUCACAAUGGAGGAGCUGUGGGUUCGGCUGACUUGACAAUGGGCCCGGGAAAUCCCAACUUUGUUUGAAAGGAGGCCCCUCCAUCAGGAAAUCUGUCCCCCUUGGAGGGAAGAAUUAAUCCUGAAAAAAAAAAAAAAAAAAAAAAAAAAAAAAAAAUCCUGGAAAAGAAGAAGGAAAAAAAAAAUCUCAAAACUCUGUCAAAAUAGAACACAAGGCUCUGGGGGCAGGGAUGUGAGGCAGGAGCUUAUUUGCUAUGGAAAGAUGCCUCUAUUUGACUCGAGAGGAAGUUAUCGCUCAGA